UCCAAUGGUAAUGAUGACAAUCCUUCUGGUGAGAAUGCAGGGCAUUAUGCACGAAUCAAAGAGUUGGCUGCCUCCUAUCGCAGGGAAAAGAGGAAAACCUAUCCUAAAAAGAACUUAAAAACCAUAUGUGAAGGCUCCAUCCAGGGACAUCAAUGGUGCUAUAGAUGGUCCAUCAGUUCCCAGAAGAGAAAGAAAAGGGAAGAAAACCUCAACGACAGAGAAACUAAAGGACUUUCCUGAGGAAUUGCUACCAAGUAAUAAUGAAGUAGAAAUCGAUGCACCUUUCGAUUUUCAAGUGUUCCAGCAAGUGAGAGCUGAACUUAUGGAGCUUCUGAAUGGGAUUCGGGCUUCCAAUAGUACUGAAGUGCCAGGCACUGAAUCUGAAUGGAAGAAAAGGCAUUUUGUUGCGCAUGCUGACCGGAAGCAAAGACAAGAGGAGAGUUGGGAGGAGGU